UAACACGUAUCCAACCUGCCGUCUACUCUUGGACAGCCUUCUGAAAGGAAGAUUAAUACAAGAUGGCAUCAUGAGUCCACAUGUUCGCAUGAUUAAAGGUAUUCCGGUAGACGAUGGGGAUGCGUUCCAUUAGAUAGUAGGCGGGGUAACGGCCCACCUAGUCUUCGAUGGAUAGGGGUUCUGAGAGGAAGGUCCCCCACAUUGGAACUGAGACACGGUCCAAACUCCUACGGGAGGCAGCAGUGAGGAAUAUUGGUCAAUGGGCGAGAGCCUGAACCAGCCAAGUAGCGUGAAGGAUGACUGCCCUAUGGGUUGUAAACUUCUUUUAUAAAGGAAUAAAGUCGGGUAUGGAUACCCGUUUGCAUGUACUUUAUGAAUAAGGAUCGGCUAACUCCGUGCCAGCAGCCGCGGUAAUACGGAGGAUCCGAGCGUUAUCCGGAUUUAUUGGGUUUAAAGGGAGCGUAGAUGGAUGUUUAAGUCAGUUGUGAAAGUUUGCGGCUCAACCGUAAAAUUGCAGUUGAUACUGGAUAUCUUGAGUGCAGUUGAGGCAGGCGGAAUUCGUGGUGUAGCGGUGAAAUGCUUAGAUAUCACGAAGAACUCCGAUUGCGAAGGCAGCCUGCUAAGCUGCAACUGACAUUGAGGCUCGAAAGUGUGGGUAUCAAACAGGAUUAGAUACCCUGGUAGUCCACACGGUAAACGAUGAAUACUCGCUGU
rnacentral:rRNA from 1 species